UACGUAGGGGGCAAGCGUUGUCCGGAUUUAUUGGGCGUAAAGAGCGUGUAGGCGGCCACACAGGUCAGCUGUGAAAACUCGAGGCUCAACCUCGAGACGUCGGUUGAAACCGUAUGGCUAGAGUCCGGAAGAGGAGAGUGGAAUUCCGUGUAGCGGUGAAAUGCGCAGAUAUCGGGAAGAACACCCGUGGCGAAGGCGGCUCUCUGGGACGGUACUGACGCUGAGACGCGAAAGCGUGGGGAGCGAACAGG
rnacentral:rRNA from 1 species